rnacentral:rRNA from 1 species
CCUACGGGAGGCAGCAGUGGGGAAUAUUUUUCCCUUUCUUCCCCUCUUCCCCAGCCACUCCUCGUUAAUGAUGAAGGUCUUCGGAUUGUAAAGUUCUUUUCUAAGGGAAGAAGAAAGUGACGGUACCUUAGGAAUAAGCCUCGGCUAACUACGUGCCAGCAGCCGCGGUAAUACGUAGGAGGCAAUCGUUAUCCGGAAUGACUGGGCGUAAAGGGUGCGUAGGUGGUUUGACAAGUUGGUAGCGUAACUCCGGGGCUCAACCUCGGCACUACUACCAAAACUGUCGGACUUGAGUGCAGGAGGGGCAAAUGGAAUUCCUAGUGUAGCGGUGGAAUGCGUAGAUAUUAGGAGGAACACCAGUGGCGAAGGCGAUUUGCUGGACUGUAACUGACACUGAGGCACGAAAGCGUGGGGAGCAAACAGGAUUAGAUACCCCAGUAGUC